AAGAGGAAAGCUGCUAGUCUCACAAGUAGACAGCAUGGCAUAUUUCAGCCUUUGGCUUCUUUAUUUCAAGCAUCCACCAAAACCACUUUCAAUUUGUGGUUCAUACCAAGAGGUUGUGUCGUGAGAAACGUGGCCUGCUGUAUAGAUACUGAUGGGUACUGAUGCCACAUGGUGGCUGUGCAUCUGACCCAGGAACUUGUCUAGUGGCAAUGAGGAUGGCAAUGGAAAUCUUCCCAGGAGCUGUAUGCAGGUUAUGGAGAAAGGGCAACUGAGAUGAAAGGCAACUGAAGGAGAAGCAGAUCUUGAGGCAGCAGCUGCUGAUCUGUGUGUAGGUGGGAGGAGCAGCUAGCAUGGGGACUGUGGUGCUUUUGUGGUCAGUACACUGCUGGAGUAGGGCAAGGAAGAUGAACUUGUGGAGUCACUGAGUUCUAAUGGGUUUUGGAAACCAUUCAAAUCUCUUCCUUUCUCACUAGAAUCAAAAUUUCCCACAGACCACAGCACUCUCUUUAGGCGCUGUGGUUCCUCCACACAGAGAACAGACCUCAGCAGAUAGCCCAGAAGAAAGCCAGAGCAACAAAGCAAUGGUCUGCCACCAAUUUGCUAAACAUCUCCAGCAGCUGGAAUGCAGAGGUCCCUGAUGAUGCAUUUGUAAGCAUGAGAUUCUUUCCCUUGUCAUGUACUGAAGGCUAUCCUAGUGGUUAUUAACCUUUGAGCAGAUGUAUCUAAUGUAUUUUUAAGUGAUUGUACUUUAAUCAUUUAUCUUAGAGGUCUGUUGCUCUUUCAAACGUAUACAUCUGAGUGGAAAUGGCAAACCACAUAGCUAAUUUCUUUCUCUAACAAACAUGAGGUCCUUCUAGGUUCUUGGCUUCCAAAUAGCAAUGCAACCAUGACACUAAUUUCUUCAUAACAGUAAAAGUUUGAUGUGCUGCAGUCAGCGUCUGUGCUUACGUGCCUUGUAACUCAGCUGUCAUGAUGACAUGCCACAAUAGCAUUUUCAGCUGACCUUAGUCUGAAGAUUAAGUUGUUCAGCUAAACCAUGGCACAACAUUUGCUAGAGCCUGUAAUGUAUUGCACCCAUCUAGUAAGAUGAACUACAAAGCCUGGCAUGGUCUCUGCAACAGUUAAAAUGAAUUUGGUCCCAGAAUAAAGAUUUGGUAUGGUGUAUCUUCUCCAGGUAGACAUGUCUAUGCACUAUAAUGGCAGAAACAGCUUCCAGCAGUGACAGAUGGCUGCAGUCUACGUGUACUUACUGUGUCUGUCUGUGACUUAUGCUCCACUGUCUGGUAGAUUUUACUGACUAAUUUCAUGGAUUUAGGAGUCUAUUUUGCCAGGAAAGAUGUUUUUAAUGUUAACCAUGGAUUAAUACAAGGAGGAGGAAAUUGUUUUUCUCAGGGGAAGUGCUGUCAGUGAUUGAUAUGUUCCCUAUGAAAUCCCAGUCCCCACUGGGUGUUUCCUGGAAUCCAAACUGUUUUGGAUACAAAUUGGCAGUACUUGCAUUUGCUCAAUCAGUUCAUAACUUGUCUGCUGAAUUAACAUCUCAGGGGCAGCCACGAGGGUCUGAAAACCUCUCUAAAUUGUACGUUGGUUCUGAUAGAGUAUUAUACUGGUAGUGCAACAAGAAAAUUUGCAUUCAGUUUUGUUCCCUAGUUCUGUGACAGAUUUAUAUUCCUACAGUUACGCAAUCAGCAUUUUUUCAUUUUCAGCUUGAUUUUUACUAGAAUGAAGAAUCACAGAGGGAAGAAUAGCAUGUUCUUGUAUAAAAAACUUCUUAAGAUGUCAUUUAAUGAGCAACAAAUGUACAACAAGUAAGAAACAGUAAAAUUUUGCUCAAAAAAUGUUAUCAAGAAAAAUAUUUUCUCCUAAAGCCCCAGCUCUUAUAUACAUGACCCCCAGUACCCUUGACUCCAAAAUGGAAGUAAAAUGACCAGUGCAGCACUAUAAGUUUUUUUGUCUCUACUUUAAGUUUAUUUAGACUGGAAGGAGCCUCUGCAAUAUGUCCAGUCCAGUGCCCUGCUCAAAGCCAGGACAACUUUCAUGUGAGAGUAGAUUGCUCAAGGCCUUCUCUUGCUGGCUUCUGAAAGCUCAGAAGAUGCAUUCUCCAUGGCGAUAUCUCAGGGCUGAACCACUUUGGUGUUGAAGACCUUAAGUCCAACAUUUUCUUGAAAGUUCAAUGGAGCAAGAAGGACCUUCAUCUAGCAGAUUUGUUAUGCUGAAGUUAGCACUUGUCACGGGAAGGGGAACCUUGUGAAACAUUUGAACUAAGGAUUCUGUCACUUACAAAGUAUAAUACAAACAAAUUUAUUCAACAGCAGUCUAAAACAUGGUAUUAAAUGUUGAGAUUGUUGUGUGUAGUGGAAGGCUGUGGUCAGAGAUGAGAUCUCUUAUUUUCUGUAUGUCUGGAUUUCAGAUUGUGGAUUGGUUCCUUUCUGAGUUGCCAUUGGUCCCAUGAGAUGGUGGGAUGUUUAAAAGACAGUCAGUCUGGAACCAGGGUAUCAGUCAGGAGAACACAGCUGAGUGCAGUAUUCCUGCAGGCAAGUCAUCACAUUUGAUCCUUGAUGACAAGGUGUAGCAUCUAGCUGUGCAAUACAUAUAAUGUUUUGAACAUUUAAAACACUUCUAAAUAUUUCAAACCCAAACCAUUUUAUGAUUCUGUAAUUCAUAAUGCUCAUACAGGAUAAGUGCCUAACUCGUGCUUGUCUCUGCAGGUAUCACUUUGAGGGAAACAUGAAGGAGAGCUCUUUUAAAUUACAAUCAAACUGCCCUGAAAUCAUGGGUUUCAUCUCUGACUUGAGCUUUCUUUAUGAGAAGCACAGGCAGCUUGAAACACUUGUCCUUGUCGAUCCCUCAGUUGAUCAAAAGGUCUCAAGCUGAUUUAUUCUACUGUAUUAAUUCCGUUGUAAAUCGCUCCUUUCCCUUCUGUGACACAUUUAAGUAACUUAGUUGCUGUUGUUUUGUUUUACUUGCAUUGAAAGAAUCCCAUUUUCUAGCCGUUUUACUGCAGGUUUCAGUCUAGAUUAGCUGCGGUGCUUUUUUUCCGUUGCUCCUUCUGUUGUUUUUUUCCCUUGAAGGCAUAGUUUCUACCCUUGCUAGGACUGAAGUGUGCUGGUUCAGCCCAUAGCUCCAUGCCCUCGUUGCUUGGUGCUGAGCAGCGGAGGCCCCCUGGCGCCCGCUUUGCCAGCCGCUGGGAGCCGGGGGUGGGGGGUUGCGGAAGUGGCACGCUGUAUUUCCCAUGUUUCUCUCUGGGUAAAAGAGGAGUAAAAGCAGGAGAAAAUGCUUCUUCCCAGUGCACGUUGUGACCCAGUUUUCCUCACAUCAGAAUGGCUUUACUGUAGCUGAGAUUCAAGACCACACCUGAAGCUCACCAACAUGCAAGAAGGAUAUCUCUUAUUUUCAGGUUGGCUUUUAUGGUCGUUAUUACUAGCUUGGUAGAGCAGUGGUGGUGGUAUUUGCUACUUGGAUUUCUUGUUUCCGUUUUCCCCUUACUUUUAGAGAGGUCAUUUUGCAUUCCUUGAGCCAUGGCCAGCAUUGCCUUCUUUGCAGUUAGAUACUGUGUAACUCAUUGCUCCUGUUUAUGCAAGAACCCACAUCAAAGGCUUUCUCCUUCCAAGUUUUAAAGAUCAUAGGGAGAUCAGAAAUAAGACUUCAAAAAGCCAAAUCUUGCUGGAAAAGCACUUACCCAAAAUAUCAGUAAGCUGUAAAAGUCAGCAGAUCUAAGUGCUGCUUUCUGAUUAAUGCAGGUGCAGUGACAGUGCCCGUAACUGACACUGUUUAGUGGCACACGGCCAAAGGUCUGAUUAGUGCCCAGUGUCAGUCUGUUCUUGGGUCUUAUUCAAGUGCUUGUGAUGGGCAAAAAUACUGAAUCUUCUUGCUGAGGAUUUUCUGGUAUUGGAACAAAAAUGUAUUAGUUGUUGUGACUGACAAAUUCAGGAAAAAAUACCAGUUUCUUGCCUUGCCAGUAGUUUGCAACUAUCAUUUGAAAUGGUUUUCCAAUGGAUGCAGUCCUUCAGUAUCUUGUUUAGGAGCAGUCUGAUGUACAAAAUUCAGUCAUGUUCUUCAAAACAGUUACCUUCUGGCAGGGGGAUGUUUUGUUUUAUGGUUUUGUUUCCUUUCUUUGGCUUUUAUCUGUUCUCAUUUAAAAGUGCUAUCUUUUUCAACAUGCAGAGCUUAAGAACGGCUUCAACGGAAGUAUAUCUUUAGUAUUUGCAAUACAAAUUUUCCCUAAUGCUUUCUUAAAACUUCACACAAUCUGUUGUUUUGAUACUAAGGGAGAGUAAUGUCUAAAAAAGCAGAAUAUAGUUCAGUGUUUUGGCUGUUGCUUAUACAAAGAACUGCUAUGUAUUUAGUGCCACUUAUUUAUAAAUAAGGUAUUUCUUUUUUCACUUCCUGCUUAUGCACUGCAAACAGGAUGUUAAGUGAUCCAUUUUGUGUUGGCAUGAUGACUGACUUGAGGAGACCCUGGGCUGAUAGUGUGGCUUCCUGGUAUUGCUCUCUUCCCAUUAGAAUAAAGGCAAAUUUUAAAAUGA